UGAAAUAAAAAGGUUUUCUUUUCUGUUUUACCAUUUUGUCGAUUAUCGUUCUUUCAUUUUUUUUCUUCAUUUGUACAUAUAUAUUUGAUUUUUUUAGUUUCGCUAUUUUUUUAUUUAUUUUUGCUUAAAAUAUAAAGAAAGGAAGAGAAAACCUACCUUUUUCACCGGAAUCACCGAGUUGGUGCCCCUCUCUGUCGCGAUCGGAGAUCGGGGCAUCGACGGAAGCCUUGGCGCGAGGCUGAGCGGUGGCAUAUGAGGGUUGAGGAAACCCUAAAAGGGUCUGGUUUCUCCUUUGGAAAGGGGAACCCAAAAGAAC
rnacentral:lncRNA from 1 species